rnacentral:sRNA from 1 species
AGGCAUUAAAACAAUUAGUUACUGAACAAUUACAGGCGGGACAUAUUGAAUAUUCCACAUCACCUUGGAAUUCCCCUGUAUUUGUUGUUAAGAAAAAGUCUGGAAAAUGGCAUUUAUUGACAGAUUUAAGGGAAAUUAAUAAAUGUAUUAAACCUAUGGGAGGAUUACAAUUAGGACUUCCCUCUCCUGCUAUGAUUCCAAAUAAAUGGUCAAUUUCUGUUAUUGAUUUAAAAGAUUAUUUUUUUUACAAUCCCUCUCCAACCUAAGGAUAAGGAAAAAUUUGCUUUUAC